CUCCUCGCCCGGACCCGCGCUGCCCGGCUCCCGCGGGCCGCUCGAUCCCAGUCCCAGGCUGGGCAUCGGGGCUGGCUGGCAUCGCCGGGGAGCCGACGGCGACGGGGAGCCCCGCGGGCGGGGAGGGCGGCGCAGGGCAGCGGGUGCGGUGACACCUGUGGGCACAGCCCUAGGGGACCUCUUUCUCCUGGACAUUGAAGAUAUGGCCCUUUGGAGGUGACCCAGGAGAGAAGGGAUGAAGGCCUUUGGUCCUCCACAUGAGGGCCCCCUCCAAGGACUCGUGGCCUCCCGCAUUGAGACUUAUGGGGGCCGGCAUCGAGCCUCUGCUCAGAGCACUGCUGGCAGACUCUAUCCCCGAGGAUACCCUGUGCUGGAUCCCAGUCGCCGACGCCUCCAGCAGUAUGUCCCCUUUGCCAGGGGUUCUGGCCAGGCCCGAGGCCUGUCACCCAUGAGACUGCGAGAUCCAGAGCCCGAGAAGAGGCACGGGGGCCAUGUGGGGGCUGGCCUGCUUCACUCCCCCAAACUCAAGGAACUCACCAAGGCCCAUGAGCUGGAGGUGAGGCUGCACACUUUCAGCAUGUUUGGGAUGCCCCGGCUGCCCCCUGAGGACCGGCGGCACUGGGAGAUAGGAGAGGGUGGCGACAGUGGCCUGACCAUCGAGAAGUCCUGGAGGGAGCUGGUGCCUGGGCACAAGGAGAUGAGCCAGGAGCUCUGCCACCAACAGGAGGCCCUGUGGGAGCUCCUGACCACCGAGCUGAUCUACGUGAGAAAGCUCAAGAUCAUGACUGAUCUGCUAGCCGCCGGCCUGCUGAACCUGCAGCGAGUGGGACUGCUGAUGGAAGUGUCAGCUGAGACCCUGUUUGGAAAUGUCCCCAGCCUGAUUCGAACCCACCGGAGCUUUUGGGAUGAGGUGCUGGGGCCCACCCUGGAGGAGACUCGGGCCUCGGGCCAGCCUCUGGACCCCAUUGGUCUGCAAAGUGGCUUCCUGACGUUUGGCCAGCGGUUCCACCCCUAUGUCCAGUACUGCCUCCGAGUGAAGCAGACCAUGGCUUACGCCCGAGAACAGCAAGAAACUAACCCUCUCUUCCAUGCCUUCGUGCAGUGGUGUGAGAAGCACAAGCGCUCUGGGAGGCAGAUGCUCUGUGACUUGCUUAUCAAGCCCCACCAGCGCAUCACCAAGUACCCACUGCUGCUCCAUGCUGUGCUCAAGAGGAGCCCCGAGGCACGAGCCCAAGAGGCCCUGAAUGCCAUGAUUGAAGCCGUGGAGUCAUUCCUGCGACACAUCAAUGGGCAGGUCCGCCAGGGCGAAGAGCAAGAGAGCUUGGCGGCUGCAGCACAACGCAUCGGGCCCUACGAGGUGCUGGAGCCACCCAGUGAUGAGGUGGAGAAGAACCUGCGCCCAUUCUCCACCCUGGACCUGACGUCCCCCAUGCUGGGGGUUGCAUCUGAGCACACCAGACAGCUGCUGCUGGAGGGGCCUGUGCGAGUGAAGGAGGGACGAGAAGGGAAGCUGGACGUGUACCUGUUCCUCUUCUCUGAUGUGCUCCUUGUGACCAAGCCCCAGCGCAAGGCGGACAAAGCCAAGGUCAUCCGACCCCCUCUCAUGCUGGAGAAGCUCGUGUGCCAACCCCUGCGAGACCCCAACAGCUUCCUGCUGAUCCACCUCACUGAAUUCCAGUGUGUCUCCAGCGCCCUCCUUGUGCACUGUCCCAGUCCUACAGACCGUGCCCAGUGGCUGGAGAAGACCCAGCAGGCCCAGAGAGGGAGGCAGAGCCUCCACCAUCCAUCAGAAGACAGAAAAAGCCUUUGGCCAGCUACUGUGCCAGCCACUGGGAGAGCCCAAGAUACAGCAUCCCCUGAAGGCCGCCCUACAGAAGCUGAAGGCAGAGGAGUAUGUUCAACAGAAGAGGGAGCUCCUGACCCUCUAUCGGGACCAGGACAGGGAGUCCCCCAGCACCAGGCCCUCCACGCCUUCCCUGGAGGGCUCUCAGAGCAGCGCAGAGGGGAGGACUCCUGAGUUCUCGACCAUUAUCCCCCACCUGGUGGUGACAGAAGACACAGAUGAAGAUGCUCCCCUUGUGCCAGAUGAUACCUCAGACUCUGGCUACGGCACUUUGAUCCCAGGCACCCCCACGGGGUCCCGCUCCCCACUGAGCCGUCUACGCCAAAGAGCCCUUCGGCGGGACCCUCGCCUCACCUUCUCCACCCUGGAACUCCGGGACAUCCCUCUGCGUCCCCACCCUCCCGACCCCCAAGCUCCUCAACGCCGAAGCGCCCCCGAACUGCCGGAAGGAAUCCUAAAAGGAGGCAGUCUUCCCCAGGAAGACCCACCAACCUGGUCUGAGGAAGAAGAUGGGGCCUCCGAGCGAGGGAAUGUGGUGGUGGAAACACUCCACAGGGCCCGGCUUCGGGGCCAGCUUCCCUCCUCCCCAACCCAUGCUGACUCUGCCGGGGAAAGCCCCUGGGAGUCCUCAGGGGAGGAGGAAGAAGAGGGGCCUCUGUUCCUGAAAGCUGGCCACACAUCCCUGCGCCCAAUGCGGGCUGAGGACAUGCUCAGAGAGAUCCGGGAGGAGCUGGCCAGCCAAAGGAUUGAGGGGGCCGAGGAGCCCCGGGACAGCAGGCCACGGAAGCUGACUCGGGCCCAGCUGCAGAGGAUGCGGGGGCCCCACAUCAUUCAGCUGGACACCCCUCUGUCCGCAUCAGAGGUAUGAGGAAUGCAGAGGACCUUUGGCAUGCAUCUCUCCCAGAGGAGAUCUCUCCCCAGUAGUGCUGGUCACCCUCCGGCAUCUGUGACUCUACCUCAAGGACCACAUUUCCCAAAGGAAGCCUGGCCCAGGCACCCUGCCUCCUGCUCUGUUUGGGGAUCAAGAACUGUAAAUUUAUGUAUCAUAGGUGCACCUGAGCCCCACAGAAAGUUGUGCAUAAAAAUGACUGCCCUGGCUGGGCAUGGCUGCCUGUAAUCCCAGCACUUUGGGAGGCUGAGGUGGGAGGAUCCCUUGAGCCCAGGAGUUCCAGACCAGCCUGGGCAAUAUAGGGAAACCCUGUCUUUACAAAAAAAAAUUUUAAAAAUUA